AUUUCACUCCUCUCCCCCCACGCCACGUCCGCUCAGCCCCGGUUGCCUGUCUGUCGUCGGAAAACGUUGAGCCAGCCUCCACGGCCGGCUAGCUGUCUUGCUGCACCUGAAAGCCGCAAGGGGUGCCUGCUUGUACGAUGAACCGCGAUGUCAGGUUGUAUGGAUCUGGUUUGAAACACGAUGACAACAUAUAUUCCAGAUUCAAGUGCAAGUAUUGCAAGAAAUAAUGGAAGGGAAGGCGGUGCUACACGUUUCAACCAACACCUUGCAUCGCGAAUUGAUGGAGUUGUUCUUAUAUGACAAACAAUAUGGUCCGUUAGUGGAUGAAAAUGGGUUGCUCAAACGCGAAUCUGAUGCUAGAUGAGGACACCGAGAGUAACACCCCAUUACCUUCCAGCAAUGUGGUUAAAGGCACUUCAAGGGAAAAUUUGGUUGAGUGGACUAAGAAGAAUGUGGGAGACACUCAUGUUGGUAAGCAAAUGGUAUAGUUCGUGUUACCAAAAAGGAUAAAGAAAGGAAAGAAAGUAGUGGCAAGCGAUGAUGAAGCGAUAGUGGUGAUAAAAGUCCAAUAUACCAAGAGUUUGCCGAUAGCAGUCCAGCGACGCUUCUGAUGAUGGUGGUGGUUGUGGUGUUGGUGGUAGUGGUGAUGGGUUUGAUUCAUCCGAUACAUUUUAUAGACCAAGAUCACGACGUACAUGAGGAGCGUAAGACCACGUUUACAAGGUUGGGACACCAAGGCCUACAACAAGCGUAUUGGACCCUCGAUUCUAGCGACGAAAGAUAAGGUUCGUCUUCACCCCUUCUUCCCUAUGUGAACUAUCUAGUUGGUGAAGUGACAAAACAACCAAUGAGGUGUGUAAUAACGGGAGGAGCAUGAGUACUACCAAAUGUUGGUAGACUCGUGUAGUGCUCUUCUAUGUGGACCGGACAUGCUUGGACGGAGUGCAAUUGUACAAGGAACAAUUGAUACAUGAGCAAUGUAUUAUGUUGCUCUCAUUAGAGGAGUAUAAUAUAGCACAAGAUCAGUGGAAUACACACCCGUGUGAAUGAUCUUCACUAGCGAGUGUAUUAUAUCUUCAAAGUUAUUUGUGAACUACGAUACACAAUGGCAUGUAAUGUAUGUAAACCGAUGAAUGUUGUUAUUGGACUUAUGAUAACAUUUUGG